rnacentral:rRNA from 1 species
UUGGAGGGCAAGUCUGGUGCCAGCAGCCGCGGUAAUUCCAGCUCCAAUAGCGUAUAUUAAAGUUGUUGCAGUUAAAAAGCUCGUAGUUGAACUUCGGGGUCUACCCAUUGGUCAGGCUUAAUUGUCUGUACUGGUGAGAUGGAUCUCUACCUUCUGAGGAACUUUCAUGCCAUUUAUUUGGUGUGGUUGGAAAUCAGGACUGUUACUUUGAAAAAAUUAGAGUGCUUAAAGCAGGCUUUUGCUUGAAUAGAUUAGCAUGGAAUAAUAAAAUAGGACGGCAUGGUUCUAUUUUGUUGGUUUCUAGGAUCACCGUAAUGAUUAAUAGGGAUAGUUGGGGGCAUUAGUAUUCAAUUGUCAGAGGUGAAAUUCUUGGAUUUAUUGAAGACUAACUUCUGCGAAAGCAUUUGCCAAGGAUGGUUUCAUUAAUCAAGAACGAAAGUUAGGGGAUCGAAGACGAUCAGAUACCGUCGUAGUCUUAACCAUAAACUAUGCCGACUAGGGAUCGGACGAUGUUAAUUUUUUAAUGACUCGUUCGGCGCCUUACGGGAAAC